UACAGAGGGUGCAAGCGUUAUCCGGAUUCAUUGGGUUUAAAGGGUGCGCAGGCGGGAGAUUAAGUCAGCGGUGAAAGCCCACAGCUUAACUGUGGAAUUGCCGUUGAUACUGAUCUUCUUGAGUGCAGUUGAGGUAGGCGGAAUGUGGCAUGUAGCGGUGAAAUGCAUAGAUAUGCCACAGAACACCGAUCGCGAAGGCAGCUUACCAAACUGUUACUGACGCUCAGGUGCGAAAGCGUGGGGAGCAAACAGG
rnacentral:misc_RNA from 1 species